UACGGGGGGUGCGAGCGUUGUCCGGAUUCACUGGGCGUAAAGGGCGCGUAGGCGGCUGGCUCAGUCGGGCCUGUAAGUGCGGGGCUCAACCCCGUGAUGGGCUCGGGACGGGCUGGCUGGUGCGCGGUCGAGGGAGACGGAAUGCCGGGUGUAGUGGUGAAAUGCGUAGAGAUCCGGCGGAACACCGGUGGCGAAAGCGCUCUGCUGGACCUUAACUGACACUGAGGGACGAAAGCUAGGGGAGCGAAUGGG
rnacentral:rRNA from 1 species